GCUUGAAUAGGAGCAAAAUGAAUGAAGAAUCCUAGAGCUUAGGAGAAUUUCACAGGUCAUCUAAGAGAUCCUUUAGCUUUUCAGGUGGGAAAAUUACACUGAAAAGCGUUGUAAAAACUGGAUGGAUUGAUUUGAAGCUUUAAAUCUAUCAUCAAGGAACACACAUAAGGCCAAGAGAGGUAGGAAGAGGCUCCUGUUGUAUUAAUAUUGCGAUGAUUACGACUCCUUUUGGAGCCUGAGGAAGUUCAGUGCAAUAUUAGAAAGCAGGAGACAGGUGAAGAGGUUUCCAGUGGUGUUUCUGUGGUCAUACAAAAACCAUAGGCAGUACUUUUUCUCAUCUUCCAGUUUGACAACUACAAAAUCAAUUUUGACCAUAAUGCUGGACUUUUCCUUCCUUCUGUCAUUUUAUGUGUACCUUGGAUGGAAAUUGCAAGGCAGGGCAGUAGAAGAGUCAAAUGUUGAUGGUUAUCCAUUCUGAUUGAAUUCUCGUGGGAUAAAUGGAUAUUAAGAUAGCAACUCUUGCCUGGAAUAAGCCACUUUUCAAGCUUGAACUCUGAGAGGAGUGGGAAGACCGAGGUGUCCAAGCAACGGAUUUGGUUGGAGGAUAAAGAGGAAAAGGUUUCAACAACCCUUUCAUGAAAGCUAAAGUGAAAUCAGCCCACAUCCAUGCCUAUUCUGUGCUUCUCCACAACAUGGAAAAAUCACAAGCUGCACAAAUCUUGCCCUGCUUCUGACUCAAAACCCAAGAUGCUUCGAGGUAACUGAGGGCAACGCGAGCAGGGCUCAUUAUUUUGCCUGAAACUCAGAUUUUUUUUGUGCUCUAUAAAGAGUGAUAGUCUUUAGAAAUCUUAGCAAAGUCUGGAUGUGUCUCUGCAUCGCUACCACCUCUGUCUAAGAGAUGAAGUGUAAACCCAGGCUGGCACUCAAGGAAAGGGCACGUUGAAGCUUGGGGGAGUUCAGGGAUCAGCGUUAAUCACGGGAAGCCAAGCACGGCUAGGCUGAGUGGUCCCAUCGCUGAUGAAUGCUCCAGGCACAAAUUGUGGCCAGCUCAGCUCAGAGUCUGUCCGCCCGGUGAGUCCCCUGCUAGGAAGAGUUCAAAGAAGGCUGUGCCGCUAAUCACAGCCUGCAUUUCUGUGGCUGUUUGCUCCAGCCACAGCAGCUGAAGGCAGAGACAGGAGCGCAGCCAUGGAGAGUCAAUCACUGGAGAUACAGACACCAAAUGAAUGCAGAAUCAGCUGCAGGAACAAUAGCGUUUAGCGACAUUAGACAGCUCCUUGAGGCUGCGGGAUGAAGGAGCCCAGACAACAACCAUCCUCCUUUGAGUCCUGGCGUGGGGACAUUAUUCUGUGCCCCCCCAGCCCAGCCUUCUUGCCGUUUCCAGCUUGCCACAGGGAGCUGCUCUCCGUGUCUUGAUCCUGCCUUGAUCCCCCUCCGUUUCUCCUGCCACACAUUAGUAAAAGCACUUGCGCUAGAAUCAAUGGGACUUUGAAAACUAAAAGUAAUGUGUGCUUUGGUAUGCUACUAAUCCACUUAUUUGGAUCCUCUUACUGCUCCUCUGGGCUGCCCUGAUCCCCUCUAUCAGCCCACCCAGCUGCUCUGAUCUGCUCUCUAAACUUCCGCCGCGGCUCUAUUAGCAUCCCUGUCAACUCACAGGGCUGCUGCCUCAACGCCUUCAAUCCCCGCUCCCAAGGAGAGUCUCUCCACUCAAUUAUAAUCCUUGUAGCCGAGAACACUGAUGUAAGCUAAAAUACAUGCACGAAAAGUUGCUGCAGCUCCUACGAAGAUGUUCAGUUUCCCUAAAGGUUUUUAAACAGCACUUACAUUUCAGGCGGGGGAAAUAGGUGAAGACGCGUUCGUAACUACCUGCCUGCCUUUCAAUUCCCCCCCAAAAAUUAUCAAAUUUUAUUGCAAGAUACAACGCGGUUCAAAAUCUACUCGCCGUGCACUUUUUAAAGACAGAUUAUGUGAAUUUAAUAUCUGUGUCAGACUAGAGACUGACAACAUCUGAAAAUGGUGCUUUUAUUCAGCAGGAAGAUAUAUGCAGCAGCAUUUUCAUUAAUGUGGCUCCCCCUGGAUUUAUCUUUAGAGAUGUGUAGAUAUUGAAGACUUCAUCACCCUUUCAGUCCUUGACCUCUCUGCUGAGGCAGCCAGUACACCUGAAUGGGUAUUUUGUCUGAGAUGGACAAAUCCUGCAGGGAUCAAACUGACAACAGAGAAGUCUGAUCAUUUAGUAACAACUUUCAGAGAUUUCUUGCCUGGGUUGGAUAGAAACUAAUGAAUUCAAACUUAGAGAUACAAUACGCUCAACCAUUUAUCUUCCAUACACGUAAAAAUAGAAGAAAAAUAGAUGUUUUUAUGAGCUUUUCUACCAUUCAGCAAGAGCUGUUUGGCAUUUGAAGGCCUCCAUUGUGUUUAUUCAUCUAUAAUUUGAAUACAGCUAAGAUGUCUCAAAAAGUGAGGAUUGUGAUGUACAGACCUUCCUUCAGGGAAGUUUCAGGAGAGAAACAAUUGCGUGGAUCUGAAGCUCAGGGCAUGGAAUUUGACAGAGCGGCUGCAGGUGUUACUGCUCUUACUGCAUCUUUCCUGGAAAGAGUUUGGGUAUUGGUUGUGCAGACUGAUGCUGAGAGUUCACGUUCUGUAUUUAAUGUGGUUUGCCACGUACUGACAAAGUGAUGGAAAUAAGAACCGUCUACAGAAAUAUCAACAAUAAAUUGCACGAUCAUUUUCCUGCAAGGUGUUUUGAAUUGUUUAGCUGUCACAAGCAGUCAGCGUCUGUGUUUGCACUGCUGUCAAAAGAGCACAGUCUUCCUACUGACAUCCUGAGCCAUGGAUUCCUUAUGGGCUCUGAUGACAUGACGCCAUAAACUGUUUCCUGAACAACAAAAUUAUCCUCGGAUAUCUCCCCUACCAGCCAGUUUGGCACUAAUUAGCUGUUCCUAAACAUAAGGCGUUUUAGAAGCAAUAAUUAUUUUCUAGCACAACUCGGUUUCACAGAAACUAAAACUGCUGGGAUGAGAAUUGACUCAUGUGUCCUUUAGACAACCUGAACAACUCACCUACCUAUUCCCUUAUCAAGACCAGAGGUUAAUUGUCAUUCAAACAGUUAUUUCAAGCGUGUUUCUGAAAGCCACACUAGCCUUACUAACCAGUAACGCCCAUAUGGAGUCACCACCUUCCUAAGCAUUUUAUUGGGGCAUGACAUGGGGCUGUCCGGGCAGACAGGAAUUAUGGGGGCUGAAUUGCCACAAGAGCUACUCAAGAGAUGGUUUAAAAAAGCAAAACAAAUUAACCUGCUUCUUGGAUCCUUCAUGGAUGUUUUGAAGAGUUCUGUUUGCUAGAAAUGUUGGGGACUAUUUUCUGCCAUUGCCUCACCCAUGAGCUUUCCUCGUGUUUGCAGGUGGCAUUUGGACACCCAUGGAGGAGUGCUACCCACCUUGUCUUCUUUCCUAUUCCCUCUGGCUGAGUGUUUCUCCAUCUGUGACCACCUGGAGAUGGUGUCCCACUGGCUACGGGUUUCUGAAAGGAAAGUACAAAAAGCAAGCCCUAGUAUAGGUAGGCUUAAAUUCACUCUAUGGAGGGCAGGGGCGUGUCCCCAGUGCAAGAAUUUUAGGGACGUGCCAUUUGCAAACCGUAGCAAAGGUGCUACCAAGGCUGUGUAGAACAAAAUGUCCCAUAUGCAGAGGUGACCUGUGGAUGUGACAAGCUGGGGAUGCCUCUAAACAAACCAGGUGAACGUGGGGGCAGAGAAUGGGGAACUAGAUGGGUUAAUCCCCUCCUAAAAGUUCAUGGCUGCCUUAAUAAAUGAAGAAAGGAGUGAGCCUGGACAUGGAACUCCCUUUGCCAGAAGUGGGCCUAUUUAGCCAUGGCAUAAAACCACUUUUAUCAGAUAACAUUUUUUGCCAUUGUAUUUUGAAGAAGAACAAAAGGAACCACGCACCUAUUUGAAAAAGGUUUCCAAGAGUGAUCUGUGCCCUCCGUUACUUGAAAUGAAUUCUUUUGCAGUCUCAGUCAGCAAUAAGGUAUCGGGUUUGCCUCCUGUGUACAAAUGAAAGCAUACAAUGGCUGAGCUGUGGUUUUCCUCUGUAUUAAUAUCAGAUUGAAAAGUGAAACUGGAUAGCCAUAAAUAACUGAAUACAACCUGAAAACAGCUGAAUAUAAACUGAAUAUAUACUGAGUAUAAACUGAGUACAACCGAAGUCAUUCUGAUCAGCUUCACCACUUUGGCAAACAGAUGACAUCUGGGUUGUUUGAGUGAAAUGAUGUAUUUCUGAGCUGCCUUCAAUAAUCUCUCUGCAAGCUGACAGUUGGCUUGCAGCAAAUAAAGCUGAGCAAUCAGUUAAUCAUCAAGAAAUUGGAAUGAAACACCUUCUGUAUGUUUUAAGCUUGUACUUCUAUUACUUACAAGGCUCUUAUGAAUGUUCCAAGGUUUUGAGCAGCUUCUAGAUUUCCCUUGUCAGUCUUGAUUUAAUAUGGAAUGUUGUGAAGUGAAUUACUUCAAAGCAGGCUUGUGGUUAACUCUGUGGGGUUGUUCCAGAGGUCUGCGGAAACCUGGAUAUAGGAAAAACACUGGUAAUACUAUUGCUUCCAGACCCAAGCUCAGCAGCAGCAAGCUCUCAAGACUCUGCAAGUGGUUUGGGGAGAGCUUAACGGCCUGGCUACAGCCUGACAGCAAAUACAGCAUUUAUUAAUCACAUGUGAGAUAGAAAUACGCAGGCAUCGUGGUACUAAACCAGCCACAUUUGCCCUGAAAAGCAAAACACGGGCAGUAGAAAAUAAAUAGUCAAGCUAGGGAUUUAUAGCAGUGACCUAAUUGAUUUUAAUGAGUAGAGUAAUGCCAUAUAUGAUAAAUGAGAAAGAUAGAGUUUGCAAUACAGCUUGGAAACGCACCCAUUUUACAUGCUAAAAAUAUCGUACACGCUGAUGUCACCGAAAAGCUUGCUGCAUGAAUGAGGGACCGGCACAGUGGAGGAAUUGUGUGCUUUCAUAACACAUGGCUACGUCCAUAGCAGUUUCCAUAAUCACAUGUCCCUGGAGCGACGGUGCGUCUGGAGACUUGGAGAAACCCUCCCAUCAUGUGGAAGAACAGCGUGUCCAUGCCACGUUGUCCAAGGAACAGAGCUCAUAGAGUGAAUUGUCAUGCAUGCCAUGAGUUUGUCCCGCAAUGGAGGCUCCAGGUAUCCAUCACACACCAACGUACCAUGUCUAAAUGGAGGCAGUCAAAGGACCAGAGGUUGGUAAUGAAGCAGGAAGGGACCAUAAUGGAUUGUGAGCACAGAUAUACCCUCGGGAAUGCAUUAGGAGGAGCGGAAGAGCUUUGAACAGGCUCCAGCCAAGACUUGACCCAACUGUCUCAGUAAUUUACGUCCUGCAGAAAAUGUUGCCCUGAGCCCAAAGCAAAGAGAAGUCAAACAGAUUUGCCCUUCCAGAAACCAGAGAGCAAGCUGGAUUGGAUUUCCUCAUGAGUUGCUAGUGAAAGAAAAAGAAGGAAAUACUACUUGUAUACAGCAAAAUAGUUUGUAAUCUCUUCAGGAAAAGAAAUAUUGAGGAUAUGGAUGACAACAAAUACAUAUUUUUCCUUUCAUGCUUCAGAGAGAUACUAGUGAAUGCUCUCACAGAAACAGAGCCAACAUACACAGAUAUUUACAUAUAUAAGGCAACAUUUGGGAGAAGUUUUAUUUUGUAGAUAGCCGCUUAUGUUCCCUAGGACAACUGUCUUGAUCACAGAGAGCAUUUGCAUUAAAUGGCACUGGGAUUUGGAGGCAAGUGAGCACAGAACCAGGAGUAGGAAGAAGGGCACCAAAUCAAGACUGGAAGCUAAGACUGGAAGCUUGUGUCAUCUUUAGUGAACUUUUAGAUACCUUUUAGAGGUACAGUGUUAAUUUCAAACCUAGCCAAAUCUGCUUACUAGCAUAAAUUGUUCAUCUGCUUUCCUUGUCUGUUAUAACCCCUCCUGCUACCUUGCUGGUUUGUUUUGAUUUUUAUAAACCAGGGAAGUCUCUGGAAUAGGUAUCA